UUCAAAAGGUCCUAAAAUUCUUAAUUUUCUAGUACGUUCUCCAUGGAGCACCAUUGAUGUCAUAAGCGAGGUUAAGCAGCCGAUCCUUUUUCUCUCUGGAUUGCAAGAUGAAAUGGUACCCCCAUCCCAUAUGCAAAUGCUGUAUGCUAAGGCAGCUGCUCGUAACAAGGAAUGCAUCUUUGUGGAAUUUCCUACUGGCAUGCACAUGGACACCUGGCUGGCCGGUGGUGAUCAUUAUUGGAGGACUAUUCAGCAGUUUCUUGACAAGGAUGUUCCCGAGAAGAAGGAAAAUGAGUCACACCACAUAGACCGAGAAUUUGAGGGGAGGUGAUUUCUUGCAUGUAGAAUUUUGAGAUGUUAGAUUGGCUCACCACAGGACCUCAAAGUAUUUGUGCCUUUUGUUUUUGACGCUGCAUCCAUUAAAAGCUCUAUGUGAGCAAUUGCUGCUGGCUGAGACCAUCCAGCACAUUCUCGUUUACUCUUCGGCAGAUGCCAGAA
rnacentral:misc_RNA from 1 species